GACGAACGCUGGCGGCGCGCCUAACACAUGCAAGUCGAACGAGCGAGAGAGAGCUUGCUUUCUUGAGCGAGUGGCGAACGGGUGAGUAACGCGUGAGGAACCUGCCUCAAAGAGGGGGACAACAGUUGGAAACGACUGCUAAUACCGCAUAAGCCCACGGUGCCGCAUGGCACAGAGGGAAAAGGAGCAAUCCGCUUUGAGAUGGCCUCGCGUCCGAUUAGCUAGUUGGUGAGGUAACGGCCCACCAAGGCGACGAUCGGUAGCCGGACUGAGAGGUUGAACGGCCACAUUGGGACUGAGACAAGGCCCAGACUCCUACGGGAGGCAGCAGUGGGGAAUAUUGCACAAUGGGGGAAACCCUGAUGCAGCGACGCCGCGUGGAGGAAGAAGGUCUUCGGAUUGUAAACUCCUGUUGUUGGGGAAGAUAAUGACGGUACCCAACAAGGAAGUGACGGCUAACUACGUG
rnacentral:rRNA from 1 species